rnacentral:rRNA from 1 species
CCUACGGGCGGCAGCAGUGAGGAAUAUUGGUCAAUGGACGAGAGUCUGAACCAGCCAAGUAGCGUGAAGGAUGACUGCCCUAUGGGUUGUAAACUUCUUUUAUAUGGGAAUAAAAUGUUCCACGUGUGGGAUUUUGUAUGUACCAUAUGAAUAAGGAUCGGCUAACUCCGUGCCAGCAGCCGCGGUAAUACGGAGGAUCCGAGCGUUAUCCGGAUUUAUUGGGUUUAAAGGGAGCGUAGGUGGAUUGUUAAGUCAGUUGUGAAAGUUUGCGGCUCAACCGUAAAAUUGCAGUUGAAACUGGCAGUCUUGAGUACAGUAGCGGUGGGCGGAAUGCGUGGUGUAGCGGUGAAAUGCUUAGAUAACACGAAGAACUCCGAUUGCGAAGGCAGUUCACUGGACUGCAACUGACACUGAGGCUCGAAAGUGUGGGUAUCAAACAGGAUUAGAUACCCUAGUAGUC